rnacentral:misc_RNA from 1 species
AAGUCGUAACAAGGUUUCCGUAGGUGAACCUGCGGAAGGAUCAUUACCACGUUCCAACGUAUCCACCCAAGCGAACCGUUUUCACUACACUAUGCGACGCGGCUCAGGCUGCGCCGCAUACACUUAUUCACUCCAAUCACACGAUUUUGCUAGUUGACUUUUCUCGGUGGCACGCUGCCUUCUGGCGGCCUGCACACGUUUGAUUAUUUGAACGUAAAAUGAACAACUCUUAGCAAUGGAUAUCUUGGUUCUC